rnacentral:rRNA from 1 species
GAAAAGAACCCCGGGAGGGGAGUGAAAUAGAACCUGAAACCCUGUGCUUACAAGCUGUGGGAGCACUUUAUAUGUGUGACCGCGUACUUUUUGUAGAACGGGCCAACGAGUUACGACAGUAAGCAAGGUUAAGUACUUAAGGUAUGGAGCCGUAGUGAAAGCGAGUCUUAAAUGGGCGUUAAGUUUUCUGUCGUAGACCCGAAACCGGGCGACCUACCCAUGAGCAGGAUGAAGCGAAAGUAAAAUUUCGUGGAGGUCCGAACCCACGAGCGUUGAAAAGCUCGGGGAUGACUUGUGGGUAGCGGUGAAAUUCCAAUCGAGCCCGGAGAUAGCUGGUUCUCCCCGAAAUAGCUUUAGGGCUAGCCUCAAGGUUGAGAAAUACGGAGGUAGAGCACUGAAUAUCCUAGGGGGCAUUGCGCUUACCGAAGAUUAUCAAACUCCGAAUGCCGUUAUUUUAUACUUGGGAGUCAGACUGUGGGUAAUAAGAUUCAUAGUCGAGAGGGCAACAGCCCAGAUCGUCAGCUAAGGUCCCUAAAUGUAAGUUAAGUGGUAAAGGAUGUGGGAUUGCAUAGACAACCAGGAUGUUGGCUUAGAAGCAGCCACUCAUUUAAAGAGUGCGUAAUAGCUCACUGGUCGAGUGAUCCUGCGCCGAAGAUUACCGGGGCUAAAACUUACUACCGAAGCUACGAUAUCAUUUAUGAUAGGUAGGGGAGCUUCCUAUGCAGGCUGAAGCAUGACCGUAAGGACAUGUGGACAGUAUAGGAGUGAGAAUGUUGGCAUGAGUAGCGAGACGUGGGUGAGAA